rnacentral:lncRNA from 1 species
UUCACUCGGAGUAAAUUCUCCAUCGAAUAAACCAUAAAUAGAAACACAAAUAAAAAUGGCACAUAAAAACAAAAGUGCGCGAAUCAUCUUUCUUGAAAAAUCGGAGGAGAGCGAUUUGAAAUUUUUGAGAGAAGAUGAAAUGUUUUGGAUGAUGAAAUGAAAUGAAAAUGAGUUGUAUUUAUAGAUGAAAAUUACUGUUCAUGACCGUUGGAGAAAGGGGAAAUUUUUGAAAAAUUUUCUUUGUGACCGUUGGGUUAAAUCGAGUGCACCAAAAAUUAGUGUGAAAAUAUCGUAUUAAACGGUCAAUCAAAUCUAUAAAAUUUCAUAAAAGUGAAAAAUUAUGACAAUGAAAUAUUUAUGUUAUAUGACAACAAAUCAUGCGACGGCUCAGCCGAUCAAUGCAGAAUAAUAAAUAAAUUAUACGGCGGCUCGGCCGACCAAUUAAUAAUAAACAGAAUAUAAGGCGGCUCAGCCGACCAAUAAAUAAUAAACAAGAUAUAAGGCGGCUCGGCCGACCAAUAAAUAAUAAACAUGAUAUAAGGCGGCUCGGCCGACCAAUAAAUAAUAAACAAGAUAUAAGGCGGCUCGGCCGACCAAUAAAUAAAUUAAAUUACUAGUAAAUAAUAUAGGCGGUAUUCCGGCCAUUAUAACAUGAUAUAAAUAAUAGUAGAGGCGGUAUACCGACCAUUAUAACAGGGUAUAAAUGAUACAAAUAAAUUUUACCGAAUCGCAGAGUGAUCGUG